rnacentral:rRNA from 1 species
UACGAAGGGGGCGAGCGUUGUUCGGAUUCAUUGGGCGUAAAGGGUGCGUAGGCGGCGCGGUAAGUCGGGUGUGAAAUCUCGGAGCUUAACUUCGAAACUGCAUUCGAUACUGCCGUGCUUGAGGACUGGAGAGGAGACUGGAAUUUACGGUGUAGCGGUGAAAUGCGUAGAUAUCGUAAGGAAGACCAGUGGCGAAGGCGGGUCUCUGGACAGUUCCUGACGCUGAGGCACGAAGGCCAGGGGAGCAAACGGG